rnacentral:rRNA from 1 species
GAACCGUACAAACGUUUAUUCGGAAUCACUGGGCUUAAAGGGUGCGUAGGCGGUCCAGAAAGUUGGGUGUGAAAGCCCUCGGCUCAACCGAGGAAUUGCGCUCAAAACUUCUGGACUAGAGGAAGGUAGAGGUAAGCGGAACUUAGGGUGGAGCGGUGAAAUGCGUUGAUAUCCUAAGGAACACCAGUUGCGAAGGCGGCUUACUGGACCUUUUCUGACGCUGAGGCACGAAAGCUAGGGGAGCGAACGGGAUUAGGUACCCCGGUAGUCCUAGCUGUAAACGAUGAGCACUGGGUUGGAGGCCCCCUCAUAGGCUUCCCUGCCCGUAGCGAAAGUGUUAAGUGCUCCGCCUGGGGAGUAUGGUCGCAAGGCUG